rnacentral:rRNA from 1 species
AUGGCAUUGCGGUUGGAGCAGAGCUGCACAGGAGGAAAAUCAAAACCGGGUGUCUUUUGCGUUGCCUGUGGACGGGAGGAGACUAUAUACCACAGAUUUUGGGGCUGCUACCACUCGGUAAAGUUCUGGAAGAUAAUGCAUUCGGAAUUGGGGGUGCCGGUGGCGAUCCCGCCGGAGACGUGUAGCCCUCAGGGUGCAUUGUCGCGAUGGCUCAUGACAUGGUUCGCUGAAGCUACGGAUGAUGAACGAGCUGUCAUGGUUCAGGGAGUUUAUGCUCUCUGGCUAGCAAGGAAUAAUACCCGUGAUGGACAGCGGCUGGAGGACGCGGAUGUGAUAGCGAGGCGUGUUUUUAACCUGAUGGUGGAAUGGCAGUCCAUCCAUGGAUGCAGGAGCAAACCUAGACAGAUAAGGACGAAGGAAAAGUGGCAACCGCCAGAGGAGGGAUGGAUCAAGGCCAAUGUUGAUGGUGCGACCGCGAAAACGGGAGAAGGAGGAACGGGUGUAGUUCUCAGGAACCAUGAUGGGGCGUAUAUUACAAGUGCUAGCCACUUUCUACCGAGGUGCAAUGAUCCUCUACAAGUUGAACUCCAAGCGCGCCGCCGAGCUGCUAUCUUAGCGGAAGCUCACAAAAUUCCACGACUGUAUCUUGACUCCGACUGCAAAGAGGCUGUAGGCAAACUUGCAAGCAAAGCGAAGGAUCUGUCCCCCCUAGGGCCGAUCGUGGAGGAGAUCAAGAGGAUAAUGGAGGCAAGAGAGGAGUGGAAGAUUGCAUGGGUGCGAAGAGAAGCUAAUCGGGCUGCUCACAAUUUAGCUAGGGAAGCUGUUUGGAAUAAUCUUUGCAUGGAGUGGCCACUUAUGCCACCAGACAUUAUUUUGCAUGUAAUCUCAGACGAGAUCCCCUCUGGGGAGAUUUGA